rnacentral:tRNA from 2 species
GGCUCGGUAGCAAAGUGGUUAUGCAGCGGCCUGCAAAGCCGUCUACGCCGGUUCGAUUCCGGCCCGAGCCUCCA